rnacentral:lncRNA from 1 species
CCCGAGUCUGGUUUCAGCGUUCCCUAAGAAAGCCUCCCUCCCAGGGGGAAGGGACGUGCCUGUGGCCUCCAUAUCUCCCCUACUGAUUAAAGGUCAAUACAGUGUUUUCAGAGUUAAAAUGCUAACCUGGCCUGUCCUUGCAUCCCGCAGGGUUCUCUGCAGGAAGUGCUGGGCACCCACAAGGAGGCAGAAGGCAGCACGGCCCAAGCCCCCUGACCAGCCUUCACCAGCUGUCCCCACAGAGGCCGUGGGCCAGAUGGAGCUGAGGUUCCCACCGUGCCUGGUGCGAGGCCACACACACCGCAGCCUCCCAGCCUCGGACAGAUGCCAGGGUCAAGACCAUCAAAUAAUUUACUGCAACGACCUGUGCCCACCGGGCCAGGACGGGGCGGGAGGAGAGCACAGCAGGGGUGCAGGGGAGUCAGUUCAAGACAGUCUGUGCAAAACGUCCUGGGAGGUCUGCGGUCACUCUGUCCACCGACCCUGGGCUGGCCGGGCUCCAGCAGCACUUCCUUCCUUCCUUCCUUCCCCCCUCCUUCCUCCAUCUGCACCUCCUCCCCACAUCCGGCACCUCUGGGCCCUGCAUCUGUGCCGGGUGGGCACAAAGGACCAGCAGGGACGUCCAACACCAUGGGCACGUCAUCUGAGUCCUUCACCCGCUUGAUCUGCUCCCUGCAAGGAGAAAGGUGUGAAUCAGCCAGCAGGCUGCAGGUUCGGCUGCAUCCAGGAGAUGCAGAUGGAGGACAGGGAGGCCCCUGAGGGCCCACGGGCAGCUCACCUGUACUGGUGGAUGUCCUCGAAGGACUUGGUGUUGUUGAUGGCAAAUACACAAAGGAAGCCCUCCCCAGUGCGCAUGUACUGGUCCCGCAUAGCACUGUACUCCUCCUGGCCUGCUGUGUCCAGUAUGUCCAGCAGGCACGUCUCCCCAUCAAUGACCACUUGCUUCCGGUAUGAGUCCUACGAGAGGACACUGCUCAGGGACCCCCAUCCCUGCUUGGAUGGGGCGUUCACACUACCAGCCUCUCCUCUGCACCUCUCGUGCCCCUCCACCCCAGGUACUAUGACAGGGGGACCCCCUCCUAUGGAGCAGACAGAAGACAUGCCCACAUCAGGAUUCAGGGCUGGGAACAGGGCCAUCCCAGCUCACCUCAAUGGUGGGGUCAUACUCAUCCACAAAGUGGUUCUGGAUGAGCUGGAUGGUCAAGGCACUCUUCCCCACGCCUCCAGCACCCACCACCACGAGCUUAUAUUCCGUCAUCGCUCCUCAAGGGGCUGCGGCAGGAGGCACUUCAGUGGUCUCCUGUCCCAC